UCAAGUGCGGCGCAGCCUUGGCCGAGACCCGGUUUCUUGUGUUGCGUACCUGCACGAAGGCAUUCGUUUUUGUCCCGACGUCCCUCGUUCGUUUAGUGGUCCCCGUUGUUUCGGUGGGGGCACAAGACGAGACUUGUAGCUCGGUCCGUUACCCGCCGUCGCGUCCGGCUGUCGUGGUGAACGGGCGCUGCUUAAGCUCUCGGAUACGGAAAGCAUCGUCGAGGGGCUUUGACAUCUCCUCCUUGCCCGAGCACGCAUUAUUAGAUAGACCCCAAGAACGGUGCACGACUGUCGCUCCCGCCUCGGUUCGGCCGUGCGGGCAGGACGUCGUUGAGGAACGCUACCUGGUUGAUCCUGCCAGUA
rnacentral:misc_RNA from 1 species